rnacentral:rRNA from 1 species
GACGAACGCUGGCGGCGUGCUUAACACAUGCAAGUCGAACGGUAAGGCCCUUUCGGGGGUACACGAGUGGCGAACGGGUGAGUAACACGUGGGUAAUCUGCCCUGCACUUCGGGAUAAGCCUGGGAAACUGGGUCUAAUACCGGAUAUGAGCUCUGGCCGCAUGGUCUGGGGGUGGAAAGUUUUUCGGUGCAGGAUGAGCCCGCGGCCUAUCAGCGUGUUGGUGGGGUAAUGGCCUACCAAGGCGACGACGGGUAGCCGGCCUGAGAGGGUGAUCGGCCACACUGGGACUGAGACACGGCCCAGACUCCUACGGGAGGCAGCAGUGGGGAAUAUUGCACAAUGGGCGGAAGCCUGAUGCAGCGACGCCGCGUGGGGGAUGACGGUCUUCGGAUUGUAAACCCCUUUCAGUAGGGACGAAGCGCAAGUGACGGUACCUGCAGAAGAAGCACCGGCCAACUACGUGCCAGCAGCCGCCGCCG